CCUACGGGAGGCUGCAGUGGGGAAUAUUGCACAAUGGGGGAAACCCUGAUGCAGCAACGCCGCGUGAAGGAAGACGGUUUUCGGAUUGUAAACUUCUGUUCUUAGUGAAGAAUAAUGACGGUAGCUAAGGAGCAAGCCACGGCUAACUACGUGCCAGCAGCCGCGGUCAUACGUAGGUGGCAAGCGUUGUCCGGUAUUACUGGGUGUAAAGGGAGCGCAGGCGGGAAGCCAAGUCAGCUGUGAAAACUACGGGCUUAACUUGUGGACUGCAGUUGAAACUGGUUUGCGUGAGUGAAGUCGAGGGUGGUGGAAUUCCGAGUGUAGCGGUGAAAGGCGUAGAUAUUGGGAGGAACACCGGUGGCGAAGGCGGCCAACUGGGCUUUAACUGACGCUGAGGCUCGAAAGUGUGGGGAGCAAACAGGAUUAGAUACCCCUGUAGUC
rnacentral:rRNA from 1 species